rnacentral:rRNA from 1 species
GACGAACGCUGGCGGCGUGCUUAACACAUGCAAGUCGAACGAAAAUACCAAGAUUGCUUGGUUGAUUAGUGGCGAACGGGGGAGUAACACGUGAGUAACCUGCCCCUUAUUUUAUUGGAUAACUGCUCGAAAGGGUAGCUAAUACGGGAUAUUCUGACCAGCCUGCAUGGGUUGGUUUGGAAAGGUUGUUUUUCUGGUAAGGGAUGGGCUCGGGGCCUAUCAGCUUGUUGGUGGGGUGAUGGCCUACCAAGGCUUUGACGGGUAGCCGGCCUGAGAGGGUGGAGUGUCAAACUAGGACGGAAAUACGGCCCAGACUCCUACGCGAUACAGCAGUAAUGAAUAUUGCACAAUGGGCGCAAGCCUGAUGCAGCGACGCCGAGUGAGGGAUCAAGACCUUCGGGUUGUAAACCUCUUUCGUCAUGGACCAAUUCACUGCUUUUUUUGUGGUCUUAAGGGUACCUGGAUAAGAAGCGCCGGCUAACUACGUG